UAGGGAUGUAAACGGGUAGGGUACCUGCGAAAUUGAGAGUACCCAAACCCGAACCCGAUUAUAUAUACAAUUCCCGAACCCGUCCCAAACCCGUUUAAUAUUUUAAUUUUACUAUCCGAACCCAUCCCAAACCCGUUUAACAAUACCCGCACAAUACCCGAACCCGAUACAAACCAGCAACUCAGCAACUCAGCAAAUAAUUUUUUUAAUUCAAUUCAAUGACAAAACCAAAUAAACUAUCUAACAGUUGCACAACCCAGUAGGAGGAGAAAUGUUCA
rnacentral:lncRNA from 1 species